AACGAACGCUGGCGGCAUGCCUAACACAUGCAAGUCGAACGAGACCUUCGGGUCUUGUGGCGCACGGGUGCGUAACGCGUGGGAACCUGCCCUUAGGUUCGGAAUAACUCCCCGAAAGGGGUGCUAAUACCGGAUAAUGUCUACGGACCAAUGAUUUAUCGCCUUUGGAUGGGCCCGCGUUGGAUUAGCUAGUUGGUAGGGUAAAAGCCUACCAAGGCGACGAUCCAUAGCUGGUCUGAGUGGAUGAUCAGCCACACUGCGACUGAGACACGGCCCAGACUCCUACGGGAGGCAGCAGUGGGGAAGAUUGAACGAUGGGCGAAAGCCUGAUCCAGCAAUGCCGCGUGAGUGAUGAAGGCCUUAGGGUUGUAAAGCUCUUUUACCCGGGAUGAUAAUGACAGUACCGGGAGAAUAAGCUCCGGCUAACUCCGU
rnacentral:rRNA from 1 species